rnacentral:rRNA from 1 species
CAGCAGCCGCGGUAAUACGUAGGUGGCAAGCGUUGUCCGGAAUUAUUGGGCGUAAAGGGCUCGCAGGCGGUUUCUUAAGUCUGAUGUGAAAGCCCCCGGCUCAACCGGGGAGGGUCAUUGGAAACUGGGAAACUUGAGUGCAGAAGAGGAGAGUGGAAUUCCACGUGUAGCGGUGAGAUGCGUAGAGAUGUGGAGGAACACCAGUGGCGAAGGCGACUCUCUGGUCUGUAACUGACGCUGAGGAGCGAAAGCGUGGGGAGCAAACAGGAUUAGAUACCCGGGUAGUCCCUGUCUCUUAUAC